UCGAGAGUUUGAUCCUGGCUCAGGAUGAACGCUAGCGGCAGGCCUAACACAUGCAAGUCGAGGGGUAGAGGAAGCUUGCUUCCUUGAGACCGGCGCACGGGUGCGUAACGCGUAUGCAAUCUACCUUAUACAGGGGAAUAGCCCAGAGAAAUUUGGAUUAAUGCCCCAUAGUGUUAUUGAAUCGCAUGGUUUUUCACAUUAAAGUCACAACGGUAAAAGAUGAGCAUGCGUCCCAUUAGCUAGAUGGUAAGGUAACGGCUUACCAUGGCUACGAUGGGUAGGGGAACUGAGAGGGAGAUCCCCCGACACUGGUACUGAGACACGGACCAGACUCCGUACGGGAGCAGCAGUGAGGAAUAUUGGACAAUGGGGCGCAAGCCCUGAUCCCAGCCAUGCCGCGUGCAGGA
rnacentral:rRNA from 1 species